CGGUGCCCGGAGGUCCCCCACGGGGCUGCCGGCGGGGAAGGGCGGAGCGCAGGUCCCCGGCCCCGGCCCGAGCCCCCAGGGCACCCGUGGGAGAACCCCGCUGGGUCGCCGUGUGACCUCAGGGUAGGCGCUGGCCCUCCCUGAGCCACCGUCUCCUGCCCGGAUCCCUGGGAGCCCCGUGUGUGGACCUCCCCAGAGAACGCAUACACCAGAGUGGUCUAAGAAUCACACUGACAUGAGACAGAUGAACAGAAACCAAUCCCAUCUAAUUCCGUGCCUGCUGGAACCCCACAUACAGAGAGGUUCAAAGAAAAGGACAGAUUCUUUGGUUGCUCUGCAAGCCUCAGCUGGAAGAGACCUGGAGACCAUCAUGGGAGCAGCCUCACUGGCCAGGCAGCUUUCGUGUGCUGGCGAGGGCCUCCAACCCUGCCUGGAGUGGGUGCUUCAGUGGGACUCUGGCCUGGGGAUGGGCGGACCCCUGCCCAUUCCCGACUCCUCUCUGCUGUCCCCUACCCCCCCACAUACACCGCAUUCCUCAACUUACUGGACAUUUCUCUGGACUCACUUGGGUGGAGAUGGCAUGUUGGUCUCAAGGACCCCGUGGGAAGCAUAGGACAGGGACAGAUGUCCCAGAAGGAGAGGGAGCACUUCUGCAGCCCCCUCCCUCCCUGGCCCUGCCACUGAGGGACCUCCCUCCUCCCUCCUCCCUCUCCCCAGGGACCUCACUUGCUCCCUCCAGGGCCUGCUCUGGAAGUUACCACAGGGCCCCUUGUAUCCCCCUGCAGCCAGCCAUCAGCCAGGAGAACUUGUUAUCCUUCUUCUCUUCCUUUCCUUUCCUCUCCUCCUAUAAAAACACCCUCAAUCCCAGGAAAAGUCCCUUUCACACCCCCUCCUCUCACCAAAGCAGCCCAGGUGCCUGAUCUCGGGAACCUCCCCUUCCUCUUUCCUCCUCUCUCCAUUCCUGCACGCCCUGGGCAGCAGCCCAAAGUCAAAGGUGCACCGAUGCCCCAGAGCACUGCCCUUCUCCCAACAACAGUCCUAGUUACCUUGAUAACCAGAGACCUCUGGGCAGCAAGGAGCCUGAUGGGCUUCCCACUGCAGCCUCUCUUGAGGCCUGGAUCGUCAGGAUGUAUGGUUCAGCUCCCCCACAUUCAUCAUCAUUACUCUUCUUCACCUGUCAGUGUCAGGGUCUUCUCUAAUGAAACUUCCGGCUGACACUGCCCAUCAGGGAGCACCAUUCCCCCACCCAGAACAGAUCAUCUGACGGGGGAACAUCCCCCAACUUCUGACCUACUCCCCCACCCUGUGUCGUCCAUAGUACAUCUGGCAUUUGUCACCACCACCCCCCCACAGCUGGCAAGAGAGGACCCCCCUCUCAGGGACAGGGCUCAUCCCAGGAGCUACAUGGUGGUGGGAGUCAGAGGCCCAGCGUAGAAAGGUUUCCCAAUAAUCCAGGUCCCUGACCAGUGUGAGCAGAGGUGAGUGGGGCUUGGAGACACUGCAGGAAUAUGAGGCCCAGGAGCCCUGCAAGCCCCAAAGGGGAGGAGCUUUUAUGAUGACAGGGAGAAAAGCAGCCUGUGAGGCCUAGCACCUGUCCCCAGUGGGUCAGCCAGAGCCAUGAGAGGAAAGGGACAGUUGCUACAUUAUCCUGGUUGGGGCCCAACAAGAAAGUCUGAGCCUGCUGUGGGGGCCCAGGCAGCUGAGGGUCACACCGUUCCCAUAUGAGACACCCCCAGCCGCAAGCAGGCAGUGACAUGAGGCCACUGCUCCCUAGUCCCUUGGAUCUGGUCAUGGCUCUCCCCUCACUUCAGGGGCCUCUCAACUUCCCCUGGCUGCCAUACCAGCUCCCUCUUUCCCAGUUCAUUCUCACUGGUGCUCUAGUUCAGAAUGCCUUCUCCCUCCCUUCACCUCAACUCAGGAAGGCCCAGCCCCCUGGAGCUUGAUGGGUUGGCCCCAGGCCCUCAGACCCACUCUGGCCCUGCUGUCCUCUGACCUUGGCUCUAAAGGCCACUCACACGCAUCAAGCCAGAGCCCAUAUUGCCUCCUGGAGUCUUAUCCUUAUGACAAGUCCAGAUGGGGGCAUCCUGAGGGCGAAGACCUUGUGACCCACCCCAGUACCUCACAUCCUGAGAAUUAUCUCCACAAACCUCCAGGGGGCCAAAUGAAAACAUGGGCCUUGGGGUCCUGCAAACUAAAGGUAAAACUCUGGGUCAGCCCUUUAUUUAUUUAUUUUUUAAGGAUUUUAUUUAUUUAUUCAUGAUUGACACAGAGAGAGGCAGAGACAUAGGCAGAGGGAGAAGCAGGCUCCCUCUGGGGAGCCCAAUGUGGG